GCGGGUGUAGUUCAAUGGUAGAACACCAGCUUCCCAAGCUGGAAACGCGGGUUCGAUUCCCGUCACCCGCUCCA
rnacentral:tRNA from 1 species